UACAGAGGUCUCAAGCGUUUGUUCGGAUUCAUUGGGCGUAAAGGGUGCGUAGGCGGCGCGGUAAGUCGGGGUGUGAAAUUUCGGAGCUUAACUCCGAAACUGCAUUCGAUACUGCCGUGCUUUGAGGACUGGAGAGGAGACUGGAAUUUACGGUGUAGCGGUGAAAUGCGUAGAUAUCGUAAGGAAGACCAGUGGCGAAGGCGGGGUCUCUGGACAGUUCCUGACGCUGAGGCACGAAGGCCAGGGGGAGCAAAACGGGG
rnacentral:rRNA from 1 species